rfam:Cellulosimicrobium sp. CTA-896 NODE_6_length_126966_cov_116.729_ID_7, whole genome shotgun sequence.
GCCCCGUCCGGUGAGGUCUCCUCCCGCCCGGUCUGGCGCACUUCCCCGGUGCCAGAAAGGACGCGGAGGGAGACCUGACCGGACGGCCCCGGCCGC